rnacentral:misc_RNA from 1 species
UGUGGGAGCGGGCUUGCUCGCGAAGGCGGUGUUUCAGUUAGCCUAUGUGUUGCUGACAGACCGCCUUCGCGAGCAAGCCCGCUCCCACA